UUUCAUUUUCUUUAACCAAUAUAAAUGUUUCAAAACUUUAGCUCCGAAUAGUAACUGCGUUUUGCGCUAUGGGAGAAAUGCGGUGCGGUUCAAAUAGUAAUGAAAAUACAUAGAUACAUAUGUAUAUGUAGAAAUUUUGAUAGGGUUACAGCACUGUUGUGAUACGGUUUUGAGUGCGGUUUUAGUUACCUUUCACAGCCUUAAUUGGUUCAGGGAUCAACCGAUCGUCCGCGUUCGCGUCGUGGGUCAUGUGAUGGUUUAGCCAUUUCGAAUUCCAAAGCACUCACAUGUUUUAUCCCUUUUAUUUAUUACGGGAUAUGCUUUGCUACAUUUUCCUCACGACACAUUAA
rnacentral:sRNA from 1 species